UUUAGGUAGGAAGCUAAAGAGCUACACACCCUGUUACAAACGUGACCGUGGAACUCCCAGUGACAUUGCAGCUGAUGGCACUUGUCAACAGCAGCAGGAGCUUUCCUAAGGACAAGGGGAGCUGGAGUGCAGCUCAGGAGUGGCUGGAGAUGGGAAAGAGCACUAAAGCAUGGGAGAGAUAACCCUGCUGGGCAGCCUACAGGAAGAUGGUUGAUAGUCACAUUGCUUUGGACACUCAGGGCUCAUUUCAGCCUUCUGAGGAGCCCACUGAAGUUACCUGCCUGCCAUGAAGAAUGCAUGUGGUGGUGUCUAUUUUCUGCACGUUCUACAACUGAAAAGAAUAAAAGUAUUACAUCUGCAAA